CUCCUGCGGUGGAAAGUCCCAGAGAUGUGAAGUCUCAUACUAAGGCCUCCCAUGCAUGAUGUGAGGUGAGAGUAAGAUUGGAUGGGAGGUGCUGGCCCUUCCUGGGAGGACAUCUGAUACUGAAGGUGACUAAGAGACAAUCUACUUUGCAAUUUUCUCAGGAAAUUUGGAGAGAGGAGCCAGGGACCUCCAAUUUCUUUCUUUGAAGAAUCUUCCCCAGGAGAUGGUUCAGAAUAGGUGUGUACAUGAAAGAGAAUCCUCCCUAAUCUUCCCUUCCACCUACCCCAUAUCACAACCGACAUUGGAUUCCUCAAACUGGGCAAGCUACAUGCUUUCAGAGACCUGGACACAUUACACGGAAGAGGGAUUCCCCUCAUUUUGGCCAUCAUGAACCCAUUAGAGGAAAUUGAAAGCUGAAUUACACUACAGCCACUUAGGAAAGAAUAAUGAGAAGGAAUAAUGAAAGUUCUUUUAAUAAGGUGACAGCAAAGUGUCUCCAGCCUUUUUUUUCUUAACAUUUUUUAUGUUUUACUUUUGCCUCACUUUGCAUUUCAAUAUUCUGAAUUUACAUAAAUAAAAAACCCCUAGCUUUGCUUUUGCAUGUGCUGGGAGCUUUGCUGACUGUAGGCUUGGAAUCUUUUCAUUUAUGAAAAGCAUUCAUUGAAGUUCCACUCUAAUGAUUCUUGGAAAGCUCAGGGGUUAACAGCCAGGAGGAAAAAAACCAGAUAAAACAAAGUUAGGUUCACAGGAAGGACUCAAGAUUGGAAGACAGUGCUGGAAUUCUGAGCUUGUGUGGACAUCAAAUCAUCAUCCCAUUCCAAUCCAUUAUUUGUUUAUUCAUGCACUCAUUUAUUCAACAAGCAUUUAAAACACCUCUGAUGGG
rnacentral:lncRNA from 1 species